rnacentral:misc_RNA from 1 species
GGUUUUAAUUUCCCCCUAGACAAAGAUUUUAAAAUGGCUGUCGAAUGUGUGGUCAAACAUGCAGCAAAAUCCGCUGCAGAGGGUCCUCAUUGGGAUGAUAUCACCAACACACUUCUUUUCGUGGACAUACUUGAAAACACCGUUCAUAGAUAUCACCCUGAGACGGGAACUGUCGACGUCAUUCAGUUAGAUGAGAAUGUGGGAUUUGUGGUUCCUGCCAGAAAAGGGGGACUGAUCGCUGGAGUAGGACGUUGUCUGGUCCACUUGGACUGGGACUCCAAGAAAGUGACCAAACUUCACGAGGUGGACCAUGGACUGCAGACACGCUUCAAUGACGGCAAAUGUGACCCCCAGGGAAGGGUCUGGGCGGGAACGAUGGGUCCAAUGGUUCCCACCAUUGAAGGUAUGCCCAAGAUUGGAAGCUUGUAUCGACUGGACUUGGAUGGCAGUUUACAUACAAUGGCAAAAAUUUUUGGCAUUUCUAAUGGUCUUGCGUGGACAGCGGACAACAAAUCCAUGUUCUUCAUUGACUCUACACCGCGCCAAAUCUAUCGCUACGAUUUUGACAAAUCUACAGGAAACAUUUGUAAGUAUCCUUAAGUCGAACAACUUUCUACACACUGAGCAUGAAAGUUUAUCCUUUUGUCCCAAAAUUAAAACAAUUUCUUAAUUUCUAUUAAACAGCCAACCAGAGAGUGAUUGUAGACAAUGCGGGGAAGUCGUUGGAUGACUGCGGUUUUCCUGACGGUAUGACUGUUGACCAAGAAGACAAGCUCUGGGUAGCCUGUUUCGCAGCCAGUAAAGUCAUCAGAUACGAUCCAGAAACGGGUAUAGCAUGGUUUACUUAUUUUCAAGUUUUAUAUCGUCUACCCCUUAACAGGUCUUCAGCAGGUAGAGUUAAUUCCAGUAAUAUAUUGUAUACUGACUCAUUUUCGCACCGUUAAAUUUUCGCCCUUCUAAACUUGCAAAGAGUUUUGCCCCGUCUGAAAUUUGCCCAUACACAAUUGUGUUUAAUGAGAGAUGAUUUGAGAAAAUGGAAUUCGCCAAGUCUUUAAAUUCGCACGCUGGUAAGGAGGGCGAAAGGGGCAAAAAUAAAACGGGGGCGAAUGUUUCCCUGUAUACAGUAGUUAUAUUUGAACAAAUGAUACAGGCUUCCUAAAUAACUCUUCGGAUUGUGGCUAUUUUGUUACAGGACAACGACUACAGCAUGUUGAAAUCCCAUCGGCCUCGAGAAUCACUUCCUGUUGUUUUGGUGGGAAGAAUUUAGAUGAGCUUUAUGUCACCUCUUCAGCUUAUGAAGUUUCGUCAGAAGAAUUUGAAAAAUAUCCGCUUUCUGGGUCCGUGUUUCGAGUCACUGACCUGGGUGUAAGGGGGCGAAAAGCACACGUUUAUGAGGGAUGAACGGAGCCCCCUAGAGAUGUCAAUGUGACAUUCUCGUUACUGCACAUAUUAACGACAAAAACCGACGAAGACAGAAAAUGAAUGCUUAAAUUAUGAAUUAUAAAGUUGUAAUCUUC